rnacentral:rRNA from 1 species
CCCGGGUCUUGUACACACCGCCCGUCACACCAUGGGAGCGGGUUCUGCCAGAAGUAGUUAGCCUAACCGCAGGGGGGGCGAUUACCACGGCAGGGUUCGUGACUGGGGUG